CGCGGGGUGGAGCAGCUCGGUAGCUCGUCGGGCUCAUAACCCGAAGGUCACAGGUUCGAAUCCUGUCCCCGCAACCA
rnacentral:tRNA from 3 species